UACGCGGGCCAUAUCUAUCUAUGACGCGGGCGGCAUAUAUGAAGAUACACCACUGCGAGUUUAAUCCAGUUGAACGAUAUAUUGAAUAGACAACAUCUAAAAAAUAAGCAAACGUAAAAUAUUGCGUAUUUCUGGAGUAGACGUGACAUGGCAAGAAGGAAAAGACUACCGAAACAGAUGGCUCUUGAUGGGCCUAACGUUUCUACACUCACUGGAGACGUGGACGAUUAUGUUGAUAGGCGGCUAAUUGAUAUAAUUAGUUCCGAAUUAAGAGACAAAGUACAUGAAAAGAAGGAUCCAUGUAAAGAUAAAUGUAAGAGCAAGAACAUUGACUCAGUGCGGUGGAGAAAGAGGGACCAGUUGGGACGAUUGACUAUUGAGAAUCGAACUCCCUCAAGAGAUAUCACACCUGAAUGUCGAAUGAGGUCAACACGACCUCAAUAUGAAGAUUCAUCAGAAGACGUUGCUGAUACAACAGAUGGUGAGAAUGUACUAUUAUUAAUUUUUAUAACUAACAACAUGCAGAACUGUUGUACAUUUUAGCACUGCAUGUAUUCUUGCUGAUUGUAUUGUGUACCUAUUGUAUGUAUUCCUACACAGGCACU